CUGCCGUGGCCGUCAAUCAUUUCUGACUCCCUAUCGCGGAGAUCCGCGCCACCUUUCGCUCUGCUCUGGUCGAGGAAAAGACCCUGCGGCGGGCUCCCCAGCACAGCCUCGUUUUCUCUACCCUUCCUCGGGAUUGGCUCAUCCGCACCUGGGCAUCAAGGAGACUGGCCCUCCGAUUGGACUAGACUGUAGAUUGACAGGGGAAAGGUGGAACUAUUGGAUAACGGUCACAAACGGUCGCUCAGAUUGUACAGCUUUAUCGGGCUGUUCCACUAACCUACGGGGUGUGUGUGUGUCUGGAGGGGAAGGAUUGUACCACUGAUACCGCUGUCAAUAAUGGCAAGACCGUACCACCAACGGGGGGUGUUACAGGCUGUACCAUUGAUCAAUUGUGCCACUGACCUAAAUGAGGGAAUGGUGCUGUGCCAUGACCUGGAUGGUGGGGGGACGUGAUGGUGCCACUGAACCGAUUGGGGAGGGAGAGGUAAAUGGAGGCGUGCAUACGAGGACCUGAUCAUGGGCUGCACAAGUGGACUGGACUGAGGGAGAGGUGCAUGCUGGGAGCCCUAAUCCCCAUGGGCCAUGCAUGAGGCGCAAGAUGGAGAUCAUGAUGGAGCAGUGCAUGCUGGGAGCCCUAAUCCCCAUGGGCCAUGCAUGAGGUGCAAGAUGGAGCAGUGCAUGCUGGGAGCUGUGCAUGGAGAUCAUGAUGGAGCAGUGCAUGCUGGGAGCCCUAAUCCCCAUGGGCCAUGCAUGAGGCGCAAGACGGAGCAGUGCAUGCUGGGAGCUGUGUAUGGAGCUCAUGAUGGAGCAGUGCAUGCUGGGGAGGCCAUCCUCCUCCUAGGCUGCCCCUCCAGCCCACGUGGGUCGAGAUGAAGCAUUGCAUCCCAGGAACAGUCGUCUCCGCUGUAGUCGGCUCCACUGGCCACAGUUUAGUUAUAGCAUCUGGGUUCUGGGCAGGAAGGAACAAAAAUCAGUAUUUGGUUCAAUUCAAUGAGGAUUUAUGGCAUGACGAGCUCUUCAAGUGUUGCCAAAGUGUAAAUGCGACAGGCCCUUCAGGUCUCUGUUAGAGCUUUUCAUCAGAUCCUAAAAUCAGCUGUACAUAGGCCUCAGAACAGUGAGAUGAUCCUGCCCUGCCUUGUCUGAGGAGAAAGGACCUGACUAGAUGACAUCCCUGUCCAGAAUGUGAGCCAGGGUCCAAGCAACAGGUUUCGUAGCCAGCCUGAAGCAUCCAUUCGUAACUGACCAGCCUCCCAAGGCUCCAAGAUCAUCAACAAAAGCCGAAUCUCUCCCCCCCCCCCCGCCCCCGCCACUUUUCUAGCUUGUCUCUCCUCCACUUUGUGUCCUUCCGUCCCUUGGAACAGGAGAAUCAAAUCUCCUUCAAACAUCAGGACUGAGAGCAAAAUUAACCCUUCCCUUUUCCUGAGAGAAAAACUGUUGGC